UACGUAGGGUGCGAGCGUUAAUCGGAAUUACUGGGCGUAAAGCGUGCGCAGGCGGUUUUGUAAGCCAGAUGUGAAAGCCCCGGGCUUAACCUGGGAAUGGCAUUUGGGACUGCAAGGCUUGAGUGCGGCAGAGGAGACUGGAAUUCCCGGUGUAGCAGUGAAAUGCGUAGAUAUUGGGAAGAACACCGGUGGCGAAGGCGGCGCUCUGGACCGAGACUGACGCUGAGGCGCGAAAGCGUGGGGAGCAAACAGG
rnacentral:rRNA from 1 species